UACCAGACUCCUACGGGAGGCAGCAGUGAGGAAUAUUGGUCAAUGGGCGAGAGCCUGAACCAGCCAAGUCGCGUGAGGGAAGACGGUCCUAUGGAUUGUAAACCUCUUUUGUCGGGGAGCAAAAAGGCCUCGUGAGGCCACAAGCGAGAGUACCCGGAGAAAAAGCAUCGGCUAACUCCGUGCCAGCAGCCGCGGUAAUACGGAGGAUGCGAGCGUUAUCCGGAUUUACUGGGUGUAAAGGGCGUGCAGCCGGGCUGACAAGUCAGAUGUGAAAUCCCGCGGCUCAACCGCGGAACUGCAUUUGAAACUGUCAGUCUUGGGUACCGGAGAGGUCAUCGGAAUUCCUUGUGUAGCGGUGAAAUGCGUAGAUAUAAGGAAGAACACCAGUGGCGAAGGCGGAUGACUGGACGGCAACUGACGGUGAGGCGCGAAAGCGUGGGGAGCAAACAGGAUUAGAUACCCCUGUAUA
rnacentral:rRNA from 1 species